GACGAACGUUAGCGGCGGGCCUAACACAUGCAAGUCGAACGCGAAAGGGAUUCGUCCCCAGUAGCGUGGCGUCCGGGGGAGUAACACGUAGGAAAUCUUCCCUCGAGCGGGGGAUAACGUCCCGAAAGGGACGCUAAUACCGCAUAAGCCCACGUCCACUUCGGUGGAUGAGGGAAAAGCUGGCAACUGUACACAAGCUAGCACUUGAGGAUGAUCCUGCGGCGCCUCAGCUAGUUGGUGGGGUAAUGGCCCACCAAGGCUAAGACGCGUAGCGGGACUGAGAGGUUGGUCAGCCACCCUGGCACUGAAACACGGGCCAGACUCCUACGGGAGGCAGCAGUGGGGAAUAUUGGACAAUGGGCGCAAGCCUGAUUCAGCCGCGCCGCGUGAGUGAUGAAGGCCUUCGGGUUGUAAAGCUCUGUGGGGAGGGACGAAAACGGCGCGGAAGAAACGACGCGUCCUUGACGGUACCUCCUUAGCAAGCACCGGCUAACUCUGUGCCAGCCGCCGCGGUAAGAC
rnacentral:rRNA from 1 species